UACAGAGGGUGCAAGCGUUGUUCGGAAUUAUUGGGCGUAAAGGGCGCGUAGGCGGUGCCACAAGUCACCUGUGAAAUCUCCGGGCUUAACUCGGAGCCUGCAGGCGAAACUGUGGUGCUGGAGUGUGGGAGAGGUGCGUGGAAUUCCCGGUGUAGCGGUGAAAUGCGUAGAUAUCGGUAGGAACACCAGUGGCGAAGGCGGUUUCCUGGAGCCCACUUGACGCUGAGACGCGAAAGCUGGGGGAGCAAACAGG
rnacentral:rRNA from 1 species